ensembl:lncRNA CT70 cancer/testis associated transcript 70
GGGCGGGGGAGGGCUUCCUCGCCCUCAGAAACCACAUUCGCAGAAACGUUUUUAACUGGCAAGGUUUCGAGUUCCCAACCACAGCACCCUCAGUGAUGGUUUUCAGAAGACCUUGUUAGCUCCUCUCCUCCAGAGACCCAUCCUUCGCUGACAUCCCACCGAUUUGGGAGCAGGAAAAAACAGACUCCUGCAAAAUACCUCUUCUUCCAGUGCCCUGUACCCCUCUCUACUUACUUCGAGUCCCUGCAGUCCAGCAACAACCCCAAACGAGUGAAGGGAGGAGACAUAGGUUUGUCCAGGCUCUGCCACCGACGGGUGAUUUGGGAUGAGUCCUUCUCCAGUAUCAUUAUCUUCAACUGUAAAACAUGAGGGUUAGUCCGAAUGAUCUCCAAACGCUUCAGCAUUAAAGAUACAGUGAGAAGGUACCAUCUAUGAAUCAGAAAGUGGGCCCUCAUCUGAACAUGACCAUGCUGGCACCACGAUCUUGGACUUCUCAGCCCCCAGAACUGUGAGCAACAAAUUUCUAUUGUUUAUAAAUUACCCAGCAUAAGAUAUUUUGGUAUGGCAGCCUGAAUGGACUGAGACACUAGGAAAAAGGAAGAGAGAGAAAGAUUAAGGAAUUCAGCAGGAGGCCAGAUCUUAAAAUGUGGACCUGGUCCAAGGCCUUAAAGAAUAGAGAUGACUGAUACUGAAUUUAAAAUUGAUUGGGUUCUGGGAGGCGGAGAUUGUGGUGAGCCGAGAUCUCACCAUUGCAUUCCAGCCUGGGCAACAAGAGCGAAACUCCAUCUCAAAAAAUAUAUAUAAAUAAAUAAAAUAAAAUUGACGGUUUUUUUGUAAUGUAAAACCUCCUUUUUUCCAAACUUUAAUAAAUGUCACUACAUACGUGAACGCCUCUAUAA